ensembl:ncRNA R07E4.8 ncRNA
UAAAAACAACACAGCAGAAAGUAAAUACACCCACUCGCUCACUCACCCGGUACAUGUUCAACUCCAUUUUUAAGGUGUGAACCACUGAAUUGAAAAUGGAUUGGAAGAAUUUUUCAAUGGAAAGAAGCAAGAAGA